ensembl:lncRNA
GUUUUUUUUAAAUAGUUGACUGUUAGGUCGUGUAAAACCACCCUAACAUGCACGUUGCAUGUUUUUUUUAAAUAGUUCUUUUACUUUAGUUCAAUUUAUGCUUUUUUCCCAGUGGUUUGAUUUCUUUUCACACAGAAAAAAAGCCAAGGGAAUUCCAAGUGAACCAAAAUGCGCAAUUUCAAACCUUGUGAAGAUGUUCAGCCUGUUUUGGCCACACGUGUCUGGUGAAGCAACAAAAGUAAAUAGAGUAAUGACGAUGCUGUGUUCUGGAGGACUGGAGAACAUGGAAAAUUUACAUUAAUUUCACAGCCAGUUACUAGACCGUAAUGACCUUUGCACAUCUAUGGUACCCUGCCGCAUCCCAGAAUGCAAAGCAAAAAAUGCUAUGGAAAGGUGGUAGUUGAGUUGCUUCACAUUCACACUACAGAUAAACCACGGAGCAGUUCAUUUGGAGCCCCCACCCCUUUCUUGCCAUACAAGUGUUUUCUUUUUACUUUAUACUUGAAUACCUCCCACUUGUCUAUAUAUGAUGUAAUUUUAGUGAUGUUCAGGGACCCCUUCAGUGUGGCUCUUGUUCGAGAAAUUAGUUACAUCCAUCAAUAGACUUGUAACACGCAGACAUCUACAGUCUAAAUUCAUUUAAAUCAUCACUGUCGUCACUAUUUCCUGCCUGCCUUCCUUUUAUUUCUAUUUUAGUUUUUAGUGUCAGUGAGCACUGGUGGUAUUUUUGCAUCCCUUUUGCUUCUUUUAUCUUUCUGACACCUAUUCUGACACAUCAUUUGUUCCCUUAACUUAAAAAAUAUUAUUGUUCUUUCCUGUUGUACUCUCCCGUUUCCUAUUGCUGCAGUGCCUCUUCACAUGGGCAAAAAAUUUACUGUUUUAUUGCUUAUCAGUGACAUAAUAUAGAAGUCAUCCAAGGGGCCUGUUAGCCAGCCAACGGCCCUCACUCCCAAAGGUUAUUCAAGGAUUUGCAAACACAUACACGGACUAUUUUUAAACUGUUUAGCACAAUGAGUUAUUCAAGUCUGACACAAGUAAUGCUUUCCCUCCUUCAGUAAGAGAUGCAGACAGAGGUUUAUGAGCUCUUCUGGUCAAUAAUGCGGUAACGAGUGAAUCAUUUCCAGUGUGAAUGCAACUUUAAAGGGUCCAUUAGAUUGCUAUCAUCCUCACGAAGAGUGGCACACACCAAAAGAGAAAAGAAACGACCAAUUUGUGUACCUUUUUUUGUUCUAUUGCGUAGACAUUCAAUGGCAUAUCAGUACAGAAGCUCAGCGAUUGCCAGAUUAUGUACAGGAAGAUGCUGUAACAGCUUGAAAAGAUGACACUUUCCAUGGAAAACAGAAACAAACCUCCAUGUUUUCUUCCGGGGUCUACUUUCUCCACUCGUGUACUGAUACACAGGUUUUGUUUCUGUGGUGAGACCUGUCAUUCAGCAGAAUACUGCAUCCCAUCUGAUGCGCUCACAGUGAAGAUAUGAAUCGUGCUGUGGUGAUGUCACAGAUAGCUCGCGACACAACCAGUGUGGCGACCACAAAACCUCCUUAAGGCCUCGAUUAUACUCUGUGGCGGACAGAGAGAGCUGGAGACCCGACAGACCCUGCUCCAACCCAGAAAGUAUCAUCCUGGCCUUAGCCUGCCUUGUGCUUGUACCAGCCCAGCACCAUCAUCCAGUGCUGCAGUGUCAAGAAGUGAAGGUCUUUAAAUGGCGACUUGACCCUGCCUUGAAAAGCAUUCACAGCAAUCACAUUGACUCCUAUGCUAAACUGCCUGACUUUAAGGCAAAAAUAUUGUACCAUUGAAGAAAAGGCCCUCCAUUUCCUGUUAAUUAUACCCUGAGUGUCUGGUUUACACAUAUGUAAUUCUUCCAUUUGUACUAGAAAUAACUGUUAUCCAGAGGGUAAAGUUAGGUGGAGAGAUAGAUCUACAAGUUAAAACAAUACAUUUCAUAGUAACUGCCUUUCUUUCAUGCUCCAUAGAGCAUCCAGAAAGUGUCAGGUUACGGUUACGUUUCACGUUUCUGGAGAAGGUUGGCACUGAAAAAUAUCCGUCGCAUGAAUACUUACAUGAGGGGACCGAGUGUCCCCUCAGCCAAGCAUCUUUGUCACAUUAAUGGAAAGAUACAGUGUUUCUUUUUUUAAUGAUUCAUUGUUUUAGGUCUCGUUUAUUUUAACACUAGUCAGUCAGGGUUGUGGCCCACUUCCCUAAUGCCCUACUAAUCUGUGUGUGAGGUGGCCUUUUUAUACACUGUAAUAUUUGAGGACUCAGCAGCAGACAAUAAGUCCUCAGCAGCAUGAUCCCUCACUGUUUUGUCAGCUCUGUGACCUGUAUUUACAGUCAGCUUAUUGUUCCACAUUUAAUUCCUAAUCCUCUUCUUGUUGUCCACAGUCCUGUGUGUGUGUGUUUUGGUGCGCCCGCCCCCUUUUCCCAUUCUUAAUCCUGUGCUUUAUUUUGCAGUUGCAUAUGCAGUCAUUAAGCCCAUUGUAACGGCUCCACGGUCAGUGCCCAUUGAAUAUAUUAGCACUCUUAGUAAAACAACAGUCAUCAUAGUACAAUGUGACUUGGUCAGAAGACUGGAAACUGUCAUGGUGAGCCUUGUGAUUGCAAAAAAGAGAAGAAUACAGACUUUUUUUUAUUAUAAUGUUACUGAUUCAGUGCACAAACAAAGGAAACAACAGAGAGUCCACUAGGAACCCUAUAAUACACCUCCUUCACAUUUAUCUGAUAAUAUUGACAAUUAAUACUGACUUUCACUAAACCACAGAAUCACAUUAAAUUACCAAUUAAAUACUGUUGGUCACAUUAUUCCCCGUGCUGACAUAUAGCAUAUGUAGGAAGGUGUUACAAUACACACUGAGGUUAGGCUCAUGUUCCUUUGUGCCUUCAUUAUUUUAAGUACUGCUUUAACUACCAAAUAUUGUGCCAUGCAGAACUUAAAAUGCAGUUUGGUUUCAUUCCGGAUGAGAUUGAGGUUUCAGAAAGGUGCGUGUCUAGAGAUAAUUUUCCAGCGUUGAAGCUUUGGUGCUGAAGAUGCUCUGAGGAAAACACCAAAAGAAUGUACGGCACGUACCGUACGCCAGUCUCGUUUGAGCAGGAAGCGUCUGUAUUGAAGGGGGAUGCUUUCAUAGAGAUAAGGAGGACAGAAAAACUGGUGAGAGGAAGUUGUUGGUUCACAGGUGCAGUGCGGGGGUUUCCACAUCCUUCUACCCUUCAGCUCCGGAAGCAAGCGCUGAGAAGAGGCUUACCACAGACAGGAGAUUGUUUACAUCAGUCAUUAUUUCCUAGCAUACCACAACAAAAUGCAGGCAAGGAGAAAAAGAGACACUUAAUUGCACAAGAAGUAGAGGAAUGGCAGCGAAUUACGGGAAGUUGGUCUGCAUGUUACAUCACUGACAUAAGGCUUCACAGCUGCCUGCUUACAGCCUUGCAUUUGUUUGCAUUUAUGUCCAUAAGCUAGAAGCUAACCUCCAGACAGCUCGUUUGUAGAGUAUAUGAGGAAACUACCCCCUGUGCAAUAUGAUGAAAGUUUUUUUUUAUUUUUUUCACCGGAGACGAUCACAUCAGAAAUCUGCAUGGAAGAGUGAACUGGCAUCUUUAUCUCUUCAAUGGAAACCUGUUGAGUCCUGUUUUUAUGGCUCAGUUUAAAGCGAAGUAUUAUACCAUGACUGGGGGAAAACAGAAGGGGCAAAAAAGUUGUAAAAUUAAGUACGAAAAGCACCAUCAAACCUAUGUGUGAGUCGGAUUCUUGCUUUGUGAGCAGAUGAUAUGACGAUUAAUGUUUAAGAUGUCCAUCUCUGGGGGAAAAAAGAAAAGGCCUUUGGGUUUUAAGGGGGCAGCAGGAGUCUGUAUUAAAAAUCCUCGAUUUGGGGCCACAGGGUAUUCAUGGUAAGCAGGCCAGCUGGGUUGCUUAGGAACAACCUCUAAAGCCUGUAUGAACCUUUCUGCAUAUACAUUGUAUUAGAUAGAGUAAAUGAUAAGAUGUGUUGCACCUUUUGUUGAUCAAUAUCUCUUAAUAUGAGAUUUUAAAAAGUGGUUCUAGGCUUGGAAAUGUGAUUUUUAAAAUGAUUUUCAUCCUUUGUGUCUCUUUAUAUUGUAAUACACUGUUUAUCUUGGCGUUUUGUAGUCCAAAGCUGCAUCUAUACUGCAAGCACUUUGCUCAUCGUUCGUGACUUUGAAGCUGACGGAUGGCUUCUUGCAAAAGUUGUGUUGGGUACCCUCAAAUGUGUUUACUACCAGGUCGUAUGUCAAUCACUGAAAUCCUUCGCCUCACUGUUUGUCACACAAAUAUUUGACUUGAAAUAAUAUUUUAAUGCUAAAAUAAUAAAAACAAAUAUAAAAAAGCAUAUUUUUAUUUUUUAAUAAGAAUCCAAAUCUGUUACUUCCCUGAACAGACAAAUGUGGUUUAGGUUUAAUGUUAUGCCCGAUUAAUUUCUGAAAAAAGUCCAGGUUUUCAGUUUGUAGUUUUAAACAAGUUUUUAAAGAGCUUUCUGAAGUACUUGUGUUUUCUUGUUUUUAUGGUGUAAUAAAUCUCUUAAUCAC